CUGGCGGCGUGCUUAACACAUGCAAGUCGAACGCGAAAGGGACUUCGGUCCUGAGUAAAGUGGCGGCACGGGUGAGUAACGCGUAGAUAACCUGUCUUCAUGUCUGGAAUAAUACGCCGAAAGGGGUACUAAUACCGGAUAUCUUGCUUUUCAUAAGUUAUGCAAGCAAAGGUGGCCUCUGCAUAUGCUACUGCAUGAAGAGGGGUCUGCGUACCAUUAGCUAGUAGGUGGGGUAAUGGCCUACCUAGGCGACGAUGGUUAGCGGGUCUGAGAGGAUGAUCCGCCACACUGGCACUGGAACACGGGCCAGACUCCUACGGGAGGCAGCAGUGAGGAAUAUUGCGCAAUGGGGGAAACCCUGACGCAGCGACGCCGCGUGAGUGAGGAAAGGCCUUCGGGUCGUAAAGCUCUGUCAAGAGGAAAGAAGUGUACAAUGGCUAAUACCUGUUGUAUUUGACGGUACCUCUAAAGGAAGCACCGGCUAACUCCGUGCCAGCAGCUGC
rnacentral:rRNA from 1 species